GGUGAUAUAGCUCAGCCGGUUAGAGCGGUGCACUCAUAAUGCACAGGUCGGUAGUUCGAGUCUACCUAUCACCA
rnacentral:tRNA from 1 species